rnacentral:rRNA from 1 species
GCAAGUCGAACGAAACUUCUUUAUCACCGAGUGCUUGCACUCACCGAUAAAGAGUUGAGUGGCGAACGGGUGAGUAACACGUGGGCAACCUGCCCAAAAGAGGGGGAUAACACUUGGAAACAGGUGCUAAUACCGCAUAACCAUAGUUACCGCACGGUAACUAUGUAAAAGGUGGCUAUGCUACCGCUUUUGGAUGGGCCCGCGGCGCAUUAGCUAGUUGGUGGGGUAAAGGCUUACCAAGGCAAUGAUGCGUAGCCGAACUGAGAGGUUGAUCGGCCACAUUGGGACUGAGACACGGCCCAAACUCCUACGGGAGGCAGCAGUAGGGAAUCUUCCACAAUGGGCGAAAGCCUGAUGGAGCAACGCCGCGUGGGUGAAGAAGGUCUUCGGAUCGUAAAACCCUGUUGUUAGAGAAGAAAGUGCGUGAGAGUAACUGUUCACGUUUCGACGGUAUCUAACCAGAAAGCCACGGCUAACUACGUGCCAGCAGCCGCGGUAAUACGUAGGUGGCAAGCGUUAUCCGGAUUUAUUGGGCGUAAAGGGAACGCAGGCGGUCUUUUAAGUCUGAUGUGAAAGCCUUCGGCUUAACCGGAGUAGUGCAUUGGAAACUGGGAGACUUGAGUGCAGAAGAGGAGAGUGGAACUCCAUGUGUAGCGGUGAAAUGCGUAGAUAUAUGGAAGAACACCAGUGGCGAAAGCGGCU